rnacentral:rRNA from 1 species
AACGAACGCUGGCGGCAGGCUUAACACAUGCAAGUCGAACGCCCCGCAAGGGGAGUGGCGCACGGGUGAGUAACGCGUGGGAAUAUGCCCUUCGGUUCGGAAUAACACAGGGAAACUUGUGCUAAUACCGGAUACGAUCUACGGAUGAAAGAUUUAUCGCCGAGGGAGUAGCCCGCGUAGGAUUAGCUAGUUGGUGAGGUAAUGGCUCACCAAGGCGACGAUCCUUAGCUGGUCUGAGAGGAUGAUCAGCCACACUGGGACUGAGACACGGCCCAGACUCCUACGGGAGGCAGCAGUGGGGAAUAUUGGACAAUGGGGGAAACCCUGAUCCAGCCAUGCCGCGUGAGUGUUGAAGGCCUUAGGGUUGUAAAGCUCUUUCGCCAGGGAAGAUAAUGACGGUACCUGGAAAAGAAGCCUCGGCUAACUCCGUGCCAGCCGCCGCGGUAACAC